GGAUAACAAAACUGCUGAAAGACAUUUGAUACAAACCUCUGACAUAAUGAGACACACCAACACCUUAAUUAUCCUACAGGUGUGUUUCAGCUCCAAACAAAAUAUCAAUAAUUCAUAUUUCUGUUUGACGAUAAACUUUAACAGGGGAUCAUGUGAUCAUCUGAGUAACUCUGCUGUUUAUAUUGUGAAGGUUUUCAGAGAAAAACUAAAAGUGUUUUAAAUACAGAUCACUGAAAAUGAUGAAUGUUGUGAAGGUUUUGGUUUUAGUGUCUCUGUCAGUUUAUUCACAUGUGGUUGAAACUGAAUGUUUUCAUACCUGAACACUUGGAGAAGAGGGACUUCUUCAUCAGUAAUGCAUAGAAACAGGUGAUCCAAAUGAGGUUUUAAGUUUAUUUUGCAUUUUUCCUCCUAAAUCUGUGAACCUUGACGUUAAACAGGAGCUGUCGUCGUACAGAUUACAGAUUGUUUUUGACGUUGAGUCUGUUUGUUCUGCAGUUUUACCUCCAGGCUGUUUUAUUUGUGCUGAAGCAGGGCUGUUGUCCUGCCGCUCUCUGAGGACGUUACAUCAGAAACUCUGGCAGAGACAUCGUCACCUCUGUACCUGCUGACACCUCAUACUCCCAUCAGUCUGCACCAAACCUCCCCGCUCGCCGCCUUCUGUUUAACCCGACUAGAGUCCUCAGGUGGGUAAAAACCAUAGACUGUAUAUAGAAUAUAUAGAAUAAUAACAGUAUAUACAGUCUAUGGUAAAAAACAAACAGAAGGAUAAACAGGAGGAUGACGUCUCUCAGUACUUUCAGAAGUCCUUGUUGGAUCAUUGUGGGACUUCUGAUGAGGUCAGAAG
rnacentral:lncRNA from 1 species